rnacentral:lncRNA from 1 species
UGAUUACACUAAGUAAUGAAUAUAUAUGAUACAUUUAUAUCUCAGUUGUAAAAACUGUCUUUACAAUUUUUUUGACAAGAGGAAACAAUGAGGAUUAGAAAGGAAUAAUUCAUGGAUAUAUUGACGUUUGUUUCAAUUGAAAUACGCCAUGUUUUGAUUUAAGAGGAUGUGAUCGACAGAAUGCGACAUAGAGUCGGAAACAGGCGUGAAAAAGUAUUACCUGUUAGUGCGUGUUAUCGUUAUUUAAUUAUUAGUUUUAUUUAAAACGAGAUGUUCACGAGAAAACAGAAACACAGCAAUUCAGUCAUAGUGUAGAACUAACCACAGAAAAAUAAGAUAAAAAUACGAAGGCGAUUAAUGUAAAGUGACCUUUAGAAACGGACUUUAUACAACACACAAUCAGAAAGAAAGGGAUUAAGAUUUUUAAUACACUGGUUAAACAUUCGUCUCGUUUGAAUGGUAGACAUUCAGUCACAAUAAGUGAUUACUUUCAAAAUCCAUGGUAUGUUAAUAUCUGGUCGUGACGAAAUCGUAAGUGGUCUGUCAAUCAGAUAGCUUAAUUACUUAGGAGGGUCGUAGUGUGUGCUUAAAGGGAAAUAUUAUCAAUAUUCAUCAUUUGUAAAUAUUUUAUCACCUGCCAUCUUUAAUGAUUAUGACGAAUGUAGAAAUUAUCACCUUUUUCAAACAAGAUUUACCUUGUGACAUUUAACCUUUAUUGCUGACCAGUAAACAAGUGUUUGUGCAAAGAUUUACAUUUUGUUUUUUCAGUGAACAGCCGUUAUAUACAGUGAUUGCGAAAGAAUGUAAAACAUGAUUAUUGCUACAUUUAUUCGAUAAUAAAAACUGGUGAUGCGACAGAUGUUUUCAAAUUUUAUAAAUGAUGCAGGUGUAAUCAGUUAUUACGUGAAGUGACUGCAGUCUCAGUUUAAGACUUCAUUUAAAAAGGACCAGCUUUAAACUAAAUAGUACAUAACUUUUAAAGGGAUAUGGAUUAUAUAUAUAUAACCGGAGUAAUAACGUGUAACAAGUGUAAAUAUUUCGCUUUUCAUUUAUUGUUUAUGACGCAACAAGUUGUAUACAGCGGUAAGUUAAAUUUACAUAAUUCAUUUUAGUUCAAUUGGAUGUUUAUUCAUGUGAG